GGGUAUCCAGUAGUCACAGAAGAAACCAUCGUUGAGGCUGGCUCCCUGCCAUCACACUGGUUUGCUCAGUGGGACGAAUUAUGGGCUCUAAUUUGGGCCCUCCACUUGUCAAAAGGUAAGAAGAUAGACAUUUACACUGACUCCAUGUAUGCCUUUGCUACUUUACAUGUACAUGGGGCCUUAUAUAAAGAAAGAGGGCUCCUGACAGCUAACAGAAAGGACGUUAAGAACAGGGAGGAAAUCUUGACUCUGCUGUAUGGGAGAUGCUGUAUGGGAACCUGAAAAGGCAGCAGUGAUGCAUUGCUGGGGUCACCAAAAGGAGGACACCCUGCAGGCAUGAGGAAAGCGACUGGCAGAUAAAAUCACAAAGGCAUCAGCUGAGGAACUUGGGGCCAGUGGAGGUGGGUUUAUUAGAACCUUUGUGCUCUCAAAAAUGCUUGAGUUGGUUUCAACUCUCCCACAGUAUACCCUGGCCCAAGAUCAACUGGUUGAGACAGAGAGGGCCACCAAAAAUGAAACAGGUUGGUGGAAACUGCUGGCUGGCAGGUUACUGGUGCCCAAAGCAUUGGCUCUCUCACUAGUAUCUCAGGUUCACCAGACAACCCACUUGGGGCAUGACAAAAUGGAAGAAUUAAUUCAAAAUAUUUCUUAAUUCCACAGCUUUCUUCCCUGUGUAGAAUGGAACCCCAGAACUGUUCUGCUUGCUCACAGAUCAACUUAAAAAGGAAGAAAAAAAGACGAGGCUCUACAAUCAACUCCUGCUACAUGGACUUUGCGGUAUCAUGUUGGGACUAGCCAUAGUUUCAGCACAAGACAACGUUUUCAUUUCAUGGAGCUGCAGAAGGCAUUGGGGGCAGUGUCUUCUGAAGGACAGAAGGCAUGGGAUCCAUGGGCAGGGGUCCCACCACACAGAAGUCCUGCUGCCACAGACAAAGAGCCAGCAUGUGCAGCCUGGGCCUUGUGGUAUUCACCUUCCUGCCCAGGAAUCUCUGAGACACAUCUGCAGCCACCUGAGCCCCUCAUGGGGUGACUUUCAGAGCAGUGGCCCCCCCCAGGCAGCA
rnacentral:lncRNA from 1 species